CUUCAAGCAAGCUACUUAAUCUCUCCACACCUCAGCUUCCACAUCUGAAAAAUGGGGAUAGUAUGAGAAAAAUAACUGCUGCACAGCGUUUGGUGAAGCAAUGAACACAGAGCAUUUAGCACAGCACAUAGCACCCACCUUGCUGUCUUCCUCCAUCCCCAGAUAAACAUUGCAGGAGAAAGCAGGCUCCCAAGAGCAGGAGGCCCAGGACAGGAAACCAAAUGGGCCCUGUCACCCAGUCCAGAUCCAGCCCACCUGCAGGAGCUUGCUUUCUAGCUGCUUUUGCAGACUAAGAUUCCUGGUAAUGAACUCAAACCUCUGAAGUGAUUAGAAUGAAAGGCUGUGGACACUAUGUACUAUUAAGGACUGGUUUCUCUGUGCUUGUUCAGCUGGGCUGAGGUGUUACAAAAGGCACAUGGGUUUCUCCCCAUCGUCACAGGGGCUGUCAGCAAUAAAACCCACCUGCCUCUUGUGCAGUACAUCUGGAGAUAUCCCUGCCCAGACAUCAUUUAACACCAUCCAAGAGUCUCCAAACAGAGGGCGAUCCCUGGGUCCACCUACAUAAAUUGCAGGCUGCAUCUCAACAUAAUGACUUAGUCAAAACCAAGUUGCUUCUCUUAAGGUUGCUUCAGGGGGACAGCAGUAGGGAAAUUGGAAACAAUCAGAGAUCAGAGCUUGGGGGCAAUUUAAAGGUCAGCCGGAGAGGAAUAAGGACGUGCUCAGGGUCAUACAGCAAACUAAGGGCUGAGAUGGAAGUAGAGUCCAGAGUCCUUUAAGCCAACUCCAACAUUUCUGCCCAAUACGACACUGAAAAGAUGGUGGAUAAUUGAAUGGACCUUGUGAUUUGGGGUGGAGAGGGGUUUCAAGAGCAGAAGGCCCACUCAAAUAUGGAUUAGUUUAUUCAUCAAAGGUUUGUUGAGUGCCUUCCACGUGUCGGGCACUGAGGAAUGUGAUAAGGUGCCUGCUCACGUAUGUGACUUACAGUCUGAGCAGGGGGAAGGGCAGGGACAGAUAACAAACAAGUAAGUAAAUACAUCAAGUAACCACAGUUUGUGACAAGCACCAUGACGGAAGCAAACAAGGCAUUGUGAUAGCAAAUAACUUUGUGGAGGGGGCCUCUUUAAAUAACCUGAUCAAAGAAGGUCUCGCAGAGCAACUGGCCUUUAAACCAAGAGCUGAAGGGCAGGACUCCAGCCAUAUGAAGAGCCAGGAGAAGAAUAUUCUAAGGAGAGCAAAGGAGCAAGAAGCAGGAAAGAGCUUGCUCUUUUCUAGAAACAGUCAAAUGUCUGUGGGAAAAUGGAGCUUAAAGCACAAGGUAGAGAGUUCAGGAGGUAAAAAGAGAGAAGAAGGCUGGGGCCCAGUCAUACCAGGUCUUAUCAACCAAGGUAAGUAAUUCGAAUUUUAUUCCCAGUAAUCUAGAAUAAGAAUUUAUUCUAGGAAUCUACAAUAGAAAAUCUGCAGAGUUCCAAGCAGAAGAGAGACACGCUUUACCUUAAUUUCUUGGAAGAUGGUUCCAGCUACUCUGCAUGAUGAUGAUAGUAGAACUGUGAAAAAGAAGAGGAGUCAGGAUCUCUGCUGGGCUAGAGCCUACGUUCCAGCGGCGGGCAGAGGAGACAGACAAGAACCAAGAAAAUAAAUAAGCAAGAUGCAUUCCAGUAAGCCUUUUCUUCAAACAAAAUCUUAUCCAGAAUGCUCUUCCCGCUGUCAUCACGGAGGCCUCAGCUCAAAUACCACCUCCUCAGAGAGCCCGUCCUUAACCACAGCAUCUAAAGCUGCUCCACCUUUUCCUUCCUCCUAGUCACUCUGUCGCAUUCCCUGUUUCAUCAUGCUCGUAUCACUUACAACCCAAAAUUGACUUGUCUAUUUGUUUACUUGUCUUCCCUACUAGAAUAUAAUGGUCAAGAGAGCA
ensembl:lncRNA